rnacentral:rRNA from 1 species
UACGUAGGGUGCGAGCGUUGUCCGGAAUUACUGGGCGUAAAGAGCUCGUAGGUGGUUUGUCGCGUUGUUCGUGAAAUCUCACGGCUUAACUGUGAGCGUGCGGGCGAUACGGGCAGACUGGAGUACUGCAGGGGAGACUGGAAUUCCUGGUGUAGCGGUGAAAUGCGCAGAUAUCAGGAGGGACACCGAUGGCGAAGGCAGGUCUCUGGGCAUUAACUGACGCUGAGGAGCGAAAGCAUGGGGAGCGAACAGG